AUUGAACGCUGGCGGCAGGCUUAACACAUGCAAGUCGAACGAGUGGCGGACGGGUGAGUAAUGUUUGGGAAACUGGCUUAUGGAGGGGGAUAACGACUGGAAACGGUCGCUAAUACCGCAUACCAUCGGAUGAGCCCAAAUGGGAUUAGUUAGUUGGUGGGGUAAUGGCUUACCAAGCCGACGAUCCCUAGCUGGUCUGAGAGGAUGACCAGCCACACCGGAACUGAGACACGGCCCGGACUCCUACGGGAGGCAGCAGUGGGGAAUAUUGCACAAUGGGCGCAAGCCUGACGCAGCCAUGCCGCGUGAAUGAAGAAGGCCGUCGGGUUGUAAAGUACUUUCAGCGAGGAGGCGUUAAUCGCAGAAGAAGCACCGGCUAACUCCGUGCCAGCAGCCGCGGUAAUAC
rnacentral:rRNA from 1 species